GCUUCUACCUGUAAUCUCCUGCCUGUUUCCUCCAAGACUGGGCCCCAGGCUUGGGCAAGGGUGAUUCACCCACUUCUGUAGGAGGAAAGAGGACGUCGAAUGACAGCUACCAGCCCUGACCUAAGGAAUCAGAAUCUCUGGGGUAGGGCUCUGGCAGCUACAUUUUUUUAUCCCCUCCCUCACACACCCAGGUAGCUCUGUGUCCACAUGGCUUUGCUAAUUGCUCUCUUCUCUGUGAUCGAACCCCCUGAAGCUUGGCGUUACUAGUAGAAGGACAGUUUCCUAAUGGGGCUUUUGUUCUGAUGACCCACGAAGUAUCACCUGUGAACUUGUGGUAGGCAUGACACGGAUCCCCACCAAAACGCCCGUGUUCUAGUUCCUGGAAUCUGUGCAUGUGCUAUCUUCCCUGGCAGAAGGAGUUUUGCAGGUAAGUGCUCACCCUGAAUAUCCAGGUGGGCCUAAUCUAAUCAUGUGAGCCCUUAAAAGAGAACUUUCAGAGGAAGAGGUGACUGCAGAAGAACGGCCAAAGGGAUACAAUGUGACUUUGAAGGUGGACGAGGGGGCCAUGGCCAAAGAACGUGAGCAGCCUCUAGGAGAUGAAAAAGACCAAGAAACUGAUUCUCCCCGAGAACUUCUGGAAAGGAACACAGCCCAGAUGGCACCUUAAUUUUAGCCAGUGAGACCUGAGUAGGACUUCUAACCUGCAGAACUGCAAGGGAAGUCUUCUCUAUAUUGGAAAAGUUCUCCUUUACUUAUCUAGAACCAAAUCUGGCUGCCAAGGAUCACAGAAUCACACCACAGGCCAGAGGGAAGACCCCUGGAUAUGACAUUUUUAAGUAAGCGACAUGCAGAAGAAUGAACCUGGACCACUGUCUUAC